rnacentral:rRNA from 1 species
AAACUUUCAAUCUCGGAUCUCUUGGCUCUGGCAUCGAUGAAGAACGCUACGAAAUGCUGAUAAAUAAUGUGAAUUGCCGAAUUCAUUGAAUCAUCGAAUCUUUGAACGCACAUUGCACCCAUUAGUAUUCUAGAGUGCAUGCCUGUUCCAGCGUCAU